UUGACCUCCUUUUUUCCUAAAUCGUUGUUUUCCUUUUCUUCUUCUGCGAUUACGUCUACUUGCGAUUCUUUUCUUAUUGAUUCCAAUUUCCUGCUAUUCAUCAGGUUUGCUUCUAAAUUCACUGCAACGGUGUUUCUCUUCGAUGGAUUUGAUUUCGGUUCUUUUUCGCUUGGAUUCGAUGAUCUCCGGUUCUCUCUAUGGAAACUCAGUUGAAUAUGGUGAUGAACUUCAUGUUCUCACCGAGGCUAUGAAGGAUUAGUUUUUUCUGGGCUAAGAUUAGGUUUUCAUUCUUUAUUUUUCUUGGUUUGUGAAAAUUCAAUUGAACAAUAGAAUUUCCGGAAUCAAUAUCGAGAUGGCGACCUCCAACUCUUGAAGAUGAAGUCGCAUUUUAUGAUAGAUAGAGGUCGGUUGCAAAAUUAAUUUUCUUUUUUCACUAUUGGUUCUAGGUAUUUCGUUUUUUCUCCAACACGCUUCUACAAUUCCAUGAAAUUGAUUUUCUUUGUUCGCUUCUGUCUACGAAUUUCGUUUGUUAAUAGAGUUCCAAUUCGUGAUGGCCCGAUGAAAAAACGAAAUAGGUGGUGCUGAGAGGGUUACCGAUGUUUCAUUUUUGCUUGAUGAUGGCACAGGUCACGUAGACUGCAAUAGAUGGUAUCACAAUUUUCUUAUGCUCAAUUGCUUACAUGGUGACAUAACAGAAAAACAUGAAGGUGACUUUGAGAAAAGCAAAACUUCUUAGAAAUCCUAAAAUCAAGCCUUCUCAGGCCUUAUGGUGUUUUAGAUUGUUGUCUUUUCUUUGCUUUGUUUUUUAGAGCCUUCUCUUUUCUUGAUUUUUAUGGCAGAAAGACUUUAAAAGAGAUAGCUUUGUUAUUUUUUUUUAUGUAAUUUACUUCGCUGGAAGUUGAAAACAGGGGUAAAAGAGUAAUUUGCUUUGCAGAAGCCAUGGAGUUCCUGCUUCUUUUCGAAGACAUGGACUUGUUAUGCAACAUAUCUUUUCUUGGAAAGAUAUUUAUGUUGCUUAACUGAGUUAAUAAAAGAGAUUCUACUUCUACAUCAUAUUACUGUAAAUGUCAAUGAUUUGGAUGCUAAGGGUGUUGAAUUUUUUUUCAUCCAUCAGAAAUCAGGUGGCAGCAUAAAUAUAAUCCAAACUCAAUUUAAACUU